rnacentral:rRNA from 1 species
UACGUAGGGUCCAAGCGUUGUCCGGAAUUAUUGGACGUAAAGAGCUCGUAGGCGGCCUGUCGCGUCGGCUGUGAAAACCUGGGGCUCAACCCCGGGCCUGCAGCCGAUACGGGCAGGCUAGAAUUCGGUAGGGGAGACUGGAACUCCUGGUGUAGCGGCGAAAUGCGCAGAUAUCAGGAAGAACACCGGUGGCGAAGGCGGGUCUCUGGGCCGAUAUUGACGCUGAGGAGCGAAAGCGUGGGGAGCGAAC